rnacentral:rRNA from 1 species
UGGGGAAUAUUGGACAAUGGGCGAAAGCCUGAUCCAGCCAUGCCGCGUGUGUGAAGAAGGUCUUCGGAUUGUAAAGCACUUUAAGUUGGGAGGAAGGGCAGUUACCUAAUACGUGAUUGUUUUGACGUUACCGACAGAAUAAGCACCGGCUAACUCUGUGCCAGCAGCCGCGGUAAUACAGAGGGUGCAAGCGUUAAUCGGAAUUACUGGGCGUAAAGCGCGCGUAGGUGGUUAGUUAAGUUGGAUGUGAAAUCCCCGGGCUCAACCUGGGAACUGCAUUCAAAACUGACUGACUAGAGUAUGGUAGAGGGUGGUGGAAUUUCCUGUGUAGCGGUGAAAUGCGUAGAUAUAGGAAGGAACACCAGUGGCGAAGGCGACCACCUGGACUGAUACUGACACUGAGGUGCGAAAGCGUGGGGAGCAAACAGGAUUAGAUACCCGGGUAGUCCCUGAGCGGGCUGGCAAGGCGCAU